rnacentral:lncRNA from 1 species
GCCAGCCGUGGGAUUAGGCUUCGCCGGCUACGAUUGCGGCCCCCAUCUUCUGACUUUUCCUCGUGUGACCCAUCUUUUCAAAUUCCCUUACCUGAGGAAGGAGCCCGAUUACAAGGAUAUUUACCUGCUCCUACCCUGAUCUAGGUGCAGUGGCUCACGCCUGUAAUCCCAGCACUUCGGGACGCCAAGGUGGAAAGACCGCUUGAGCCCAGGAGUUCGAGGCUGCAAUGAGUUAUGAUUGCACCACUGCACUCCAGCCUGGGCGGCAGAGAAAGGCUCCAUCUCUAAAAAAAGAAGAGCUAAGUGCUGUACCUAAAACAUGCAGUAUAUAAACUGGCUGAACUUAGAAAUAAACUGUUUUCAUGUUAUG